rnacentral:rRNA from 1 species
UACGUAGGGUGCGAGCGUUGUCCGGAAUUACUGGGCGUAAAGAGUUCGUAGGCGGUUUGUCGCGUCUGCUGUGAAAACCCGAGGCUCAACCUCGGGCCUGCAGUGGGUACGGGCAGACUAGAGUGCGGUAGGGGAGAUUGGAAUUCCUGGUGUAGCGGUGGAAUGCGCAGAUAAUCAGGAGGAACACCAAUGGCGAAGGCAGAUCUCUGGGCCGUAACUGACGCUGAGGAGCGAAAGCAUGGGGAGCGAACAGG